GGUACUGUGGCGCAGUGGAUAGCGCAUUGGACUUUUAAUUCAAAGGUUGUGGGGUUCGAUUCCCACCAGAGUCA